CUCCCUCAGCCUUUCCUCAUAAGGGAGAUAUGCCACACCCUUAAUUAUCUUUGUGGAUUCUUUCAAGCAGUUCCUAGUCCUUCCUUUUCACUAAGAAGAAAAGCCCUCUAAUUUUGAGAACAUAAUAUAUCUCAGACAAGAAGCACAAAAUGCUGCCACUUACCAUAUAAGAAUUUCCUUUCUAGCUUCUCAAACAAUAGUACACUUUGAUUCAGUUGUUCACGGAAGCCUUCAGCAACAUAAUAAUCUACAUCACUGGCUUGAAGCAGCUCCUCAAAAGCUUUAAUAAGGCUCGUCAGAUGUUGAUGAGGGCAGCCUGACUGAGUAACCUGAGGAGAUCUGACUGCGCUCAAAAGAGAGGCCUUGCAGCAAAGAGCUGUGGAACUGAAGUGUAGGCAGAGACUGGUGUCUGGCACAGAAUCAGAUAUGGGCCUAUCGGGAGCAGCUCUGCUUUCUUCUACAUCAUCUAUGACUCCAGAGUCAUCAAGUGCAUCUGUACUUGUUACACUCAAUUUGGGAGAACGCAGGCACUUGGAACCUGAAUAUGCAGUGGCUGAGUCAAUGUCCUCAUGUUCCAUGGAAUAAAACUCUUCAUUUAUCUCCUGUAA